UACGUAGGGGGCAAGCGUUGUCCGGAUUUAUUGGGCGUAAAGAGCGUGUAGGCGGCUAGGUAGGUCCGUUGUGAAAACUCGAGGCUCAACCUCGAGACGUCGAUGGAAACCAUCUAGCUAGAGUCCGGAAGAGGAGAGUGGAAUUCCUGGUGUAGCGGUGAAAUGCGUAGAUAUCGUAAGGAAGACCAGUGGCGAAGGCGGGUCUCUGGACAGUUCCUGACGCUGAGGCACGAAGGUCAGGGGAGCAAACAGG
rnacentral:rRNA from 1 species